AUAGAGCAGUGCUGUGUGAUAGAGCAGUGCUAUGUGAUAGAGAAGUGCUGUGGUGUAGUGAUAGAGCAGUGCUAUGUGAUAGAGCAGUGCUAUGGUGUAGUGAUAGAGCAGUGCUGUGGUAUAGAGCAGUGCUGUGUGAUAGAGCAGUGCUGGGCUAUAGAGCAGUGCUGUGUGAUAGAGCAGUGCUGUGGUAUAGAGCAGUGCUAUGUGAUAGAGCAGUGCUAUGUGAUAGAGCAGUGCUAUGGUGUAGUGAUAGAGCAGUGCUAUGUGAUAGAGCAGUGCUAUGUGAUAGAGCAGUGCUAUGUGAUAGAGCAGUGCUGUGGUGUAGUGAUAGAGCAGUGCUGUGGUGUAGUGAUAGAGCAGUGCCGUGUGAUAGAGCAGUGCUGUGUAAUAGAGCAGUGCUGUGGUGUAGUGAUAGAGCAGUGCUGUGUAAUAGAGCAGUGCUGUGUGAUAGAGCAGUGCUGUGUGAUAGAGCAGUGCUGUAUGAUAGAGCAGUGCCGUGUGAUAGAGCAGUGCUGUGUAAUAGAGCAGUGCUGUGUGAUAGAGCAGUGCCGUGUGAUAGAGCAGUGCUGUGUAAUAGAGCAGUGCUGUGUGAUAGAGCAGUGCUGUGUAAUAGAGCAGUGCUGUGUGAUAGAGCAGUGCCGUGUGAUAGAGCAGUGCUGUGUAAUAGAGCAGUGCUGUGUGAUAG
ensembl:lncRNA